rnacentral:rRNA from 1 species
UCGGGAAUAUUGGACAAUGGGCGAAAGCCUGAUCCAGCCAUGCCGCGUGUGUGAAGAGGGUCUUCGGAUUGUAAAGCACUUUAAGUUGGGAGGAAGGGUUGUAGAUUAAUACUCUGCAAUUUUGACGUUACCGACAGAAUAAGCACCGGCUAACUCUGUGCCAGCAGCCGCGGUAAUACAGAGGGUGCAAGCGUUAAUCGGAAUUACUGGGCGUAAAGCGCGCGUAGGUGGUUAGUUAAGUUGGAUGUGAAAUCCCCGGGCUCAACCUGGGAACUGCAUUCAAAACUGACUGACUAGAGUAUGGUAGAGGGUGGUGGAAUUUCCCGUGUAGCGGUGAAAUGCGUAGAUAUAGGAAGGAACACCAGUGGCGAAGGCGACCACCUGGACUGAUACUGACACUGAGGUGCGAAAGCGUGGGGAGCAAACAGGAUUAGAUACCCACGUAGUCCCUGAGCGGGCUGGCAAGGCGCAU